rnacentral:lncRNA from 1 species
ACGUCAUCGAAACAAACGCUCACUGCGCAUGCGCAUGAACUAUAAAAGCGCGGGUUCGCACGUUCUUUCUUCCCAGUUCCGUCUUUCUUGAGAAGGGUGAGUAAUAUUCACUUUGUGAUUUCGUUUUUUUUUUUUUUUAAAUAGUUUUUUAUCUACUGGAGAAGUUUUUAAAAUCACGUUCUGUAGGUGUUUUACCAAACUACCCACAGUGCUAAAGUUGUACAAAUUAAAACUAAGGAUUUUGGUGUAGUUCCGCGCUGAGCACGUGGCUCAUUUUCGAUGCACCCGGGAAGGUUCUAGACAAUGAAAACUUGACUGGUUCUGGUUUAGUAUUAUAUUAUACUGUUUAGUGCAUAUGAUUGUUAGUAAGAUGGAUAAACACAAGUUACUAAUGUUAUUCAAUUGUUUUAACGUUGCAUAUUGGUGAUCAUUUAAGCGACUUUGCAGUAGGUUAUUUCCAGUGGCCAAACUAUCUGAGCAGCUGUAUUAUGAAUUUCACUCUAUAUGUAUUUGUUUUACAGUAUGUGGGCUGUUGGACCAUGGAGUUUUCCUAUAGUGCUUACUCAGCUUUUGAUCAUACUGGAGCCAAAUGGAUAACCUUAAAUUCAUCAGACUUUGUUUCAGAAGUCUUUAACACUCUAAAACGGGAAGAAUUCUGUAAUUCAAGAGGACCACACAGUGACCCUUGAUGAAUGGCCACACGUGAAGGAGUUUGAGCGAUCUGUGCUCCUGAAGGCCCUUCAGUGCCAAACCCACGUGGAGCAGUGGAUGAAGUACACAAUGGGUUUUCUCCAAGCAGUCUAGCGUUUACCAGCCAUAGGGGAGGAAAUGCCUUUUGAGAGCAUUAAAGUUGCUUUUAUUUUGACCUACUAGUGUUCCAACCUGCUAUUUUUGAAGAAGCAUUCAAGUUUGUUAAAUUGUAACUUCUCAGAAUGCAGUCACUAAUUAUUGCUUGUAACUUGUUUGUUCGAUGCAAGUGUAAAUAGUCUGGCAGAUACCUUUUACAUGUUCAAUAAAACUAAGCCAUGAACCGAACUUCGCGUUUAUGAAAAUUGUUUUCUGCAUUUCUCAACGGUGACCUUAUAGAGGUCAAAUGUAUAAUGCAAAUCAAGCUGGCUUUUCAGUGGAGUGAAAUUUGUCUAGAGGACAUUCGAACUGAAAUCAAUUCAAAUUGAGCAAUUUUGCUCAAAUUGAGCAACAACAAAAAAAAAAGUUAUUAAAUCAUAUGGUUUAAUAAAAC